rnacentral:rRNA from 1 species
UACGUAGGUGGCGAGCGUUGUCCGGAUUUACUGGGCGUAAAGGGCGUGCAGGCGGUCUGUUAAGUGCAGGGUGAAAGCUCCCGGCUCAACUGGGAGAGGUCCUUGCAUACUGGCGGACUUGAGGGGGGUAGAGGAAAGUGGAAUUCCCGGUGUAGUGGUGAUAUGCGUAGAUAUCGGGAGGAACACCUGUGGCGAAGGCGGCUUUCUGGGCCCUACCUGACGCUGAGACGCGAAAGCGUGGGGAGCGAACCGG